GAGGCCCCACUCUGGCUCGGAGCCUGGCCCGGGUCGGGUCUCUCCAGUCCCAGCUUCUCCCUCCCGACUGGAAAGUCCCGCCCAGCAGUGCAGCAGCAUGUGCUCCCAGAGUGGGAGUCAGCUGGCUGGACUUCAGGGCAGCCAGGACAUUUGCCUGCGGUGGACGUUUUCCCGGAGGUUUCUUGGGAGUUGCCGAAGGUUGUUUCCCACUGGCUUCAGACGAGGCUUCCUGGGGCACACCUGGCCUCGGCCCAAUGGACAGCUGGCUCCACACACCCUCCUCUGUCUAUCCCAAGAGGGCAUUGCAGACUUCUGGGUACAAACCCCUGCUCUACCACUUAGCAUCUUCUUAACAUCAGGCAAAUCAUUGAAUUGUA